CCUAAGACAUGCAAGUCGUACGAAGUGGCCCAUUGAUGAUUGAGUGCUUGCACAAGAUUUGAUUUGGAUUCCCACUUAGUGGCGCAAGGGUGAGUAACGCGUAGGUUAUCUGCCUUCGAGUUUGGAAUAACAAUUAGAAAUGAUUGCUAAUGCCGGAUUAUAUUUAAGAUGAUACGUUGUCUUAAAUUAAAAGGAGCCUUUAAAGCUUCGCUUGAAGAUGAGCCUGCGUCGUAUUAGCUAGUUGGUGGGGUAAUGGCCUACCAAGGCAACGAUGCGUAGCCGACCUGAGAGGGUGAUCGGCCACACUGGGACUGAGACACGGCCCAGACUCCUACGGGAGACAGCAGUUAGGAAUAUUCGUCAAUGGGGGAAACCCUGAACGAGCAAUGCCGCGUGAAGGAUGACGGUCCUUUGGAUUGUAAACUUCUGUUGUUAGGGAAGAACAAGCUGUAUAGGAAAUGAUACAGUUCUGACGGUACCUUUCAAGAAAGCUCCGGCUAACUACGUG
rnacentral:rRNA from 1 species